AAGAGUAAAGCUUUACUGACCUCUACAGGCCGUUAAUUAAUUUAUAAUUUAAAAAUGAAAGAUUAAAUUUUUGUUAUAAAAGCAGCUUUUUGUGUUUUGAUCAACUGAAUAUUGCUGAAGGAAAUAUAAUGACUUUCAUUAAGUUGAUAGACAUUUCAAAUUACUGGGAUUAUGUGCGCUUCUUAAAGGCUCCUAUGGAAUCAACGACUUGUCUCAUUGAUUUGUGUCUGGUGAUUGGUAACUUUUUUCAUUACAACUGCCUAAGAUUGCAACGACCAUAGUAAUCGUUAUGAGGAAUAUGAAGAUCAAGAAUUGCUGCUUUUAAUGAUGACUAUUUGCAGAUGACAAUGAUUUUGAUACAGGAGUUAUGGUUACGUUUUUACUCAAGUGGCUCAAAGGAAAUGGAAAAGAUUGAUUAUCUUUUGUUUAUUCAAUUCUUAUAACGGUUUGACUAUUGAAAUCAGACUGUGUAACCUGGUUUACGACGCAACAAAAACCUUGGACCUCUAAGAGCAAAAAAAUAAUGACUAAUUAUUGUACGUUCACCCUUAAUCUCCAGCAAUUCAAAAGGGAUACCAACGAUUUUUGACUCAAGUAUCAAUGCUUAGCUAAGGACAAGCACAAUAACAAAGUGAACAUGAGACAUUGAAAAAACAUUCUUGCUUUCUUCUUUACAAGCUUUAAGGAUCUCACAAUUUGGCUGAAUGAUUAAGGAUGGCUGCUGGUGGAUUUUAGAUUUAGUAAUUACGGAAUUUCAAGUGAAUCUGUUUUCUUCAACUUGCACUUGGAUGAUGUAAAAACAUGAACAAUCCUUAUUUUACUUACUUUUUUAAAAUGGUUGCUGCUAAAUCUUUUGCUUGCAUGGUACGAGUUGUUGAAUUUUCAAUCUUUUCAAUCAAGGCGAUCAAAUUUUCAACACUGGCAGCCAAAGGUGGAUUUGUUUGUCCAUUAAUGAGUGGUGUUAUUUGUCCCAUUGAC